AGCAAGGUGGCAGAAAAGUGCUUCAGAUUUAAGCUCUGACUAUGAAGACCACUUCCCUUUCUAC
rnacentral:tRNA from 1 species